UGGACAGGGGGGUACCCGCCGCGGAGCGGGUCCUGUCCAGGAGGUUGCGCGAGAGCGUGGCCAGUGGUUGUCGCUCGGGGGUGAUCGCCG
rnacentral:sRNA from 1 species